rnacentral:rRNA from 1 species
UACGUAGGGUGCAAGCGUUGUCCGGAAUUAUUGGGCGUAAAGAGCUCGUAGGCGGUUUGUUGCGUCGGCUGUGAAAUCCCGAGGCUCAACCUCGGGUCUGCAGUCGAUACGAGCAAACUAGAGUGUUGCAGGGGAGACUGGAAUUCCUGGUGUAGCGGUGAAAUGCGCAGAUAUCAGGAGGAACACCGGUGGCGAAGGCGGGUCUCUGGGCCGGUAACUG